rnacentral:antisense_RNA from 1 species
CGGCGCAGGGCGGGGGUGGUGACCCCGCCAGCGCCUAACCACCAACUGCCUGAACAGGAGGCAAUCAUGGCUAC